AAAUUGAAGAGUUUGAUCAUGGCUCAGAUUGAACGCUGGCGGCAGGCCUAACACAUGCAAGUCGAACGGUAACAGGAAGCAGCUUGCUGCUUCGCUGGCGAGUGGCGGACGGGUGAGUAAUGUCUGGGAAACUGCC
rnacentral:rRNA from 1 species